CCUACGGGGGGCAGCAGUGGGGAAUAUUGCGCAAUGGGCGAAAGCCUGACGCAGCGACGCCGCGUGAGGGAUGAAGGUCUUCGGAUCGUAAACCUCUGUCAGCAGGGAAGAACGGUCACUGUGCUAAUCAGCAGUGAAUUGACGGUACCUGCAAAGGAAUCACCGGCUAACUCCGUGCCAGCAGCCGCGGUAAUACGGAGGGUGCGAGCGUUAAUCGGAAUUACUGGGCGAAAAGCGCUCGUAGGCGGUAUGACAAGUCAAGGGUGAAAUCCGGCGCCAAACGUGGGAACUGCCUUUGAAACGGGCAAACUGGAGUGUGUGAGGGGAUAGUGGAAUUCCAGGUGUAGGAGUGAAAUCCGUAGAUAUCUGGAGGAACAUCAGUGGCGAAGGCGACUAUCUGGCACAUAACUGACGCUGAGGAGCGAAAGCGUGGUAGCAAACAGGAUUAGAUACCCCUGUAGUC
rnacentral:rRNA from 1 species